rnacentral:rRNA from 1 species
UACGUAGGGGGCUAGCGUUGUCCGGAUUUAUUGGGCGUAAAGGGCGCGUAGGCGGCUUGGCAAGUGGAAGGUGAAAUCCCUCGGCUUAACCGAGGAACUGCCCUCCAAACUGCUUUGCUUGAGGCCGGGAGAGGUGAGUGGAAUUCCCAGUGUAGCGGUGAAAUGCGUAGAUAUUGGGAGGAACACCAGUGGCGAAGGCGGCUCACUGAACCGGUUCUGACGCUGAUGCGCGAAAGCGUGGGGAGCAAACGGG